AUGGGAACGCGAAGAACCUUACCUAGACUUGACAUCUUCUGCAUUAAUCGUAAUGGAUGAAAUCCCUUCGGGGACAGAAUGACAGGCGGUGCAUGGUUGUCGUCAGCUCGUGUCGUGAGAUGUUGGGUUAAGUCCCGCAACGAGCGCAACCCCUAUUAUUAGUUGCUAACAUUAAGUUGAGCACUCUAGUGAGACUGCCCGGGUUAACCGGGAGGAAGGUGGGGAUGACGUCAAAUCAUCAUGCCCCUUAUGUCUAGGGCUACACACGUGCUACAAUGGUGAGAACAACAAGAUGCGAUACCGCGAGGUGGAGCAAAACUGAAAAACUCAUCUCAGUUCGGAUUGCAGGCUGAAACUCGCCUGCAUGAAGUUGGAGUUGCUAGUAAUCGCGAAUCAGAAUGUCGCGGUGAAUACGUUCCCGGGUCUUGUACACACCG
rnacentral:rRNA from 1 species